UCUGCAAGUUCUUUCUCACAUCCCUGAGAACGAUGUCAAUUCCUUACAAAAUUAUGUAUGCAUGCCAAAAUUCAGGCCAAACACAAAAAAAUUCUUUACAAGGACAAGCAACGCAAGAGAAUCCAAAAUCCGAUGAAGGAGAUAUUAAAACAAUUGGAAAUUUGUGAUUCGAGGUUCCUGUGCGUGUCAAGUUGAGGAACAUAAAAGGUGGUGAAUCAUAAAACUUA